rnacentral:tRNA from 2 species
GCUGGCGUAGCUCAACUGGCAGAGCAUCUGAUUUGUAAUCAGAAGGUUGCGGGUUCAAGUCCCAUCGCCAGCUCCA